GGCAAAGUGGCCGAGUGGUUAAGGCGGCAGACUCAAGACAAUGUCUUACACUGUACAACGGUGCUAUAUUCUGCUGGAGCAAUCCGCGCGCGUUCGAAUCGCGUCUUUGUCA